rnacentral:rRNA from 1 species
UGGCUCAGGAUGAACGCUGGCGGCGUGCCUAACACAUGCAAGUCGAGCGAAGCACUUUGCUUAGAUUCUUCGGAUGAAGAGGAUUGUGACUGAGCGGCGGACGGGUGAGUAACGCGUGGGUAACCUGCCUCAUACAGGGGGAUAACAGUUAGAAAUGACUGCUAAUACCGCAUAAGACCACAGCACCGCAUGGUGCGGGGGUAAAAACUCCGGUGGUAUGAGAUGGACCCGCGUCUGAUUAGCUAGUUGGUAAGGUAACGGCUUACCAAGGCGACGAUCAGUAGCCGACCUGAGAGGGUGACCGGCCACAUUGGGACUGAGACACGACCCAAACUCCUACGGGAGGCAGCAGUGGGGAAUAUUGCACAAUGGGGGAAACCCUGAUGCAGCGACGCCGCGUGAGCGAAGAAGUAUUUCGGUAUGUAAAGCUCUAUCAGCAGGGAAGAAAAUGACGGUACCUGACUAAGAAGCACCGGCUAAAUACGUGCCAGCAGCCGCGGUAAUACGUAUGGUGCAAGCGUUAUCCGGAUUUACUGGGUGUAAAGGGAGCGUAGACGGAUGGGCAAGUCUGAUGUGAAAACCCGGGGCUCAACCCCGGGACUGCAUUGGAAACUGUUCAUCUAGAGUGCUGGAGAGGUAAGUGGAAUUCCUAGUGUAGCGGUGAAAUGCGUAGAUAUUAGGAGGAACACCAGUGGCGAAGGCGGCUUACUGGACAGUAACUGACGUUGAGGCUCGAAAGCGUGGGGAGCAAACAGGAUUAGAUACCCUGGUAGUCCACGCCGUAAACGAUGACUACCGGGGGUCGGGUGGCAAAGCCAUUCGGUGCCGCAGCAAACGCAAUAAGUAGUCCACCUGGGGAGUACGUUCGCAAGAAUGAAACUCAAAGGAAUAGACGGGGACCCGCACAAGCGGUGGAGCAUGUGGUUUAAUUUGAAGCAACGCGAAGAACCUUACCUGCUCUUGACAUCCCGCUGACCGGACGGUAAUGCGUCCUUCCCUUCGGGGCAGCGGAGACAGGUGGUGCAUGGUUGUCGUCAGCUCGUGUCGUGAGAUGUUGGGUUAAGUCCCGCAACGAGCGCAACCCCUAUCUUUAGUAGCCAGCGGCCAGGCCGGGCACUCUAGAGAGACUGCCGGGGAUAACCCGGAGGAAGGUGGGGAUGACGUCAAAUCAUCAUGCCCCUUAUGAGCAGGGCUACACACGUGCUACAAUGGCGUAAACAAAGGGAAGCGAGACCGCGAGGUGGAGCAAAUCCCAAAAAUAACGUCUCAGUUCGGAUUGUAGUCUGCAACUCGACUACAUGAAGCUGGAAUCGCUAGUAAUCGCGAAUCAGAAUGUCGCGGUGAAUACGUUCCCGGGUCUUGCACUCACCGCCC